rnacentral:antisense_RNA from 2 species
UGUUAUGGCGGCCGUGCGCGGGAGAUUCUUCGGGAUCUGCCGGGUUUACCUUUUGCCCCGGUCUUGCACACCUGCGUACGGCCGCCACCUUC